CAGAGUACACCUGCCCUAUGGGUAGAACUCUCACCCUUGAAUACUAUACCUUUUGUUACUUUGGCGGCCCCUCAGGGCUCUCGCGAGUUCUGUACCGCCAAAGGCCCUUAAACUCUUGAAUAUUUGUCGUCUGAGUACUAUAAAAUUUAUUA
rnacentral:misc_RNA from 1 species